rnacentral:lncRNA from 1 species
GUGAGGAUGGUCAGACCGGAACCCGCCCCAGGCAGCGCUGUGGAGGACCCACCCACCUUACCCAGGUUCCCCCUGGCUCCGCUGAGGCUCCCUCGGGGCCAGGAGCCCGCUGGUCUCACAGAUGCCAACGAGAAAAGAGAAAAGAAGUGGAAAGAGAGAGGAGAAGGGGCAGGAGGAAAGGACAGAGCGACGGCUCCCGGAGUUUGUCUUCGCAGACACUCACUGUCACUUUGCCGAGACAGAAACAGGCUCUGGAGCCAUUUGUGUGUCCUCAGAAGAGGCCGCCUUCCUAGCCGGCUCACUGGGCUCUGGGACCAGUUUCCACACAUUCCCGGAGGUCACACAUGGUGGUCGCAGAAGUCCCUGAUGGGGGAAGUGGCCUCGCUGUGGAUAUUUACACAUUUUCAACGCUCCUGGCCCAUCCCUGCUGUGUUUUCCAAGAG